AAAGUUCUUUCCAGCUGGCCCUGAUCUCCACAGCAACUAUUGUCAGAUAGCUCUUGUGCUGCGGUCAAGCAAUUCAAUCCAAUUUCUUUCAGGCAGGAAAGAAAACAGGAGAAAUGUGUUAAUAAUUUGAGAGAAAGGAUGAAAUUGAUUAAGGUUUACAUGAUUUGAUGAUCAGGUAGCAAAGAAUUUUCUUGGGGGAAAAAAGUCUUUCCAGCUGCUGGUGACAGGCAGUGAGAAUCAAUUUAAUGGAAAUUUGUUACAAGAAGAGUAAAACAAUCUGAGACUCAACAGUCUGUGAAGAAUAUCAGUGUCUAGCAGGUCAUGAAAUACUCUUAAGAAUAAAUAGGCGAAUUCUCAUAACCAGCUUCCCCCCUGCAUUUAUUUUUACCCCCUCAAAAAUAGCAGAAAAUCUUCUAUAAACAAACUCACUACAUUAUGAUCAGAAAAAGUCUUUGGUUUGAGAAAGGAUGAUUGUCCUACUGCUGGCAUAACAAGGCCGCUAAGGAGGGAAAGAUGCAGCUCUUCAACCUGAAGAAAUGCAGCACUGAUAUCAAGCUAGUGAACAUGGGACUGUAUUCAUACAGCUGCUGUACCAUAUUCCCUUCCAAUCCCAGAACUGACUGGAAAUCAUGAUACUCUGAUCUUGCUGCCCUCACAGUCCACUCUAAC